AAAAAAACCUACAGCACGAUUUGCACGUCGCCCGCCCGUCUCGAGAUGAAAAAAUGACGGUCUCGACCACGAUCUGAGUCCAGUUUCUAUCACAAUCAAGAAACCAAUAAAGAAAAUGCUUUUCAAGCAACGACAAUACCCACCACCAAGAAAUCAACUGCUUGUGAACAAUUCAGUUUUCCAUUUCCCCUUGCAUUUUUGUGCUUCUUCUGCUGCUGCUCUAGUACGUUUUCUUGCUCUCUCUUGUAUAAGUGGGAUGUGCUUUUUGGGUUUUUGAAAGCUGACUGAUAUUGGUCUUGCAUUUGGUUUGUUUGGUUGCUGAGAAAAUGUAGAGAAAGAGAAGGAAGUAGAGAACUAUUGAGUUCUUAUUUUUUCUGUUUUCAGAUUUGCUAAUGCUCAGUAGUUGCAUUUCUUUGCUUCCCAAUAGAUGAGUGAUUUCCUUGGCUUUUUCUCUGCAACCAACAGAGUUUAGUUUUUUUAUUUUUCAGAAUUUGGGUUCUCACUUUCUCUCUCUUUUCCCUUGGUUUUUGAUGUGACUGACUGUAGGAAAAAGACUUGGGAAGUGAAGAUGUCUAGGGUUUUUGUGGUUGAAGUAAUGGGGAUCUUGUGGUUAUGGGUGUGGAUAGCAAUGGUAGAAGCUGAGCAUGUGAAAUACAAGGACCCAAAACAACCGGUGGGGGCUCGAGUUAAGGACCUAAUGAGUAGAAUGACUCUGGAAGAAAAAAUUGCUCAAAUGGUACAAAUUGACAGAUUGAUUGCAACUCCUGCGAUUAUGAAGACCUACUCCAUUGGUAGCGUGCUGAGUGGUGGUGGAAGUGCACCACUUCCUGAGGCUAGUGCUGAGGAUUGGGUUAAUAUGAUAAAUGAGUUUCAAAAUGGGUCUUUGUCAAACCGUUUGGGCAUUCCAAUGAUUUACGGCAUUGAUGCUGUUCAUGGACAUAACAAUGUCUACAAUGCUACAAUAUUUCCCCACAAUAUAGGGCUUGGAGCUACCAGGGAUCCGGACCUGGUGAAGAGGAUUGGCAGUGCAACUGCUCUUGAAGUUAGAGCCACAGGGAUUCCUUAUGUCUUUGCUCCGUGCAUUGCAGUUUGUAGAGAUCCGAGGUGGGGUCGGUGUUAUGAAAGCUACAGUGAGGAUCACAAAAUUGUGGAAGAGAUGACUGAAAUUAUACUUGGUCUGCAAGGGGAUAUUCCUGCUAAUUCUCGGAAAGGAGUUCCAUAUGUUGGUGGAAAGAAAAAAGUUGCAGCUUGUGCGAAGCACUUUGUGGGUGAUGGUGGAACAACCAAGGGCAUCAAUGAGAACAACACAGUGAUUGACAAGCAUGGGUUGUUGAGCAUCCACAUGCCUGCUUAUUCUGAUUCAAUUAUCAAGGGUGUUUCAACAAUCAUGGUUUCCUACUCUAGUUGGAAUGGGGUUAAGAUGCAUGCAAACCGUGAGCUAAUUACUGGCUUCCUCAAGAAAACCCUCAAAUUUAAGGGUUUUAUUAUCUCAGAUUGGCAGGGCAUUGACAGGAUUACCUCACCACCAUAUGCGAACUACUCCUAUUCUGUUCAAGCUGCAAUUCAAGCUGGCAUUGACAUGGUUAUGGUCCCUUUCAACUAUACUGAGUUUAUUGAUGAUCUUACUGAUCUAGUCAAGAAAAAUGUCAUCCCUAUUGAUCGCAUUGAUGAUGCUGUGGGAAGGAUUUUGCUUGUCAAGUUCAGCAUGGGCCUGUUUGAAAACCCUUUGGCUGAUCUCAGCCUAGUCAAUGAGCUUGGAAGUCAGGGACAUAGAGACUUGGCAAGGGAAGCUGUAAGGAAAUCACUUGUGCUACUGAAGAAUGGUGAAUCUGCUGAUGAACCGUUGCUGCCUCUUCCCAAAAAAAGCACCAAAGAUACUAGUUGCUGGAAGCCAUGCAGACAACUUGGGCUAUCAAUGUGGAGGCUGGACAAUUACAUGGCAGGGUCUUGGUGGCAAUGACCUCACAUCUGGCACAACAAUUGUCAAUGCAAUAAAAAACACAGUUGAUCCUGCAACCCAAGUUGUAUUCAAUCAGAACCCAGAUGUAAACUUCGUCAAGUCCAAUAAAUUCUCCUAUGCCAUUGUUGUAGUUGGUGAGACCCCAUAUGCAGAAACAUUUGGUGACAGCCUAAAUCUGACAAUACCUGAACCUGGCUCAAGUACCAUCACCAAUGUGUGUACAUCCGUCAAAUGCGUUGUAGUUAUCAUAUCUGGCCGCCCUGUUGUGAUCCAGCCCUAUCUUGCAAAUAUAGAUGCUCUCGUAGCUGCUUGGCUUCCCGGAACUGAAGGCCAAGGUGUUGCUGAUGUUCUUUUCGGUGACUAUGAAUUCACAGGCAAGCUUGCACGCACCUGGUUCAAGACAGUAGACCAGCUUCCGAUGAAUGUUGGCGAUCAACACUACGACCCUCUGUUUUCCUUUGGGUUUGGUCUAACAACUAAGCGUACCAAGAACUAGAAUUUAUCAACUUCGAAUGCUGUAUUGUACUAGUUAUUGAUAGCUCUUUCACGGUUAAAACUUUUGAGGUUAUUUUCCCUCUCCAUGAAAUGGGUCAAGCAGUCUGCUAAGGAUGGCAUCGAGAUGUAUGAUUUUAGAUGACUCGAGUGAUAAUGACUGGAACGCAUUCUUAUUAUGCGUCCCUCCAUUAAAAGGACAAAAAGAGUUAUUGUGCAACUUUAAAAUGGGAUUGCUCCAUCUUCGAGCCCCAGCUGGGAUUGCUUUUCAUCUUGGAGUUGCAACAAGCUAAACUAUUAGUUCUUCAUCUUCGAGCUACAAGUGGGAUUGCUCCACACCUACCUUUCCAAAGCAAUUUAUUUUUGGGAAUUAAAUUAAUUUAUCAAAAUAGGUCCACUAUCAAAAGUAAUCAGUGCCUUUAUUUUUGGAAAAUUAUUGUUAAGUCCAUGUGUUUUAACAAAAUUAAUUACUUGGUCCCUAUAUU
rnacentral:misc_RNA from 1 species